UGUGGGAGCGAGCUUGCUCGCGAUAGCGUAGUGUCAGGCGAAUCAUCAUUGCCUGACGGAUCGCCAUCGCGAGCAAGCUCGCUCCCACA
rnacentral:misc_RNA from 1 species